ACAGCCAUGUCACAUUGAAACAUUGGUUGUCGUACAAUCACCAAAGUUAAGCAACAUUGAGCUUGGUCAGUACCUAGAUGAGUGACUGCUUGGGAAUACCAUGUGCUGUAAG